AUUAAUAGCAUCAGUGGUGUC
rnacentral:siRNA from 1 species